rnacentral:rRNA from 1 species
UACGUAGGGUGCAGGCGUUAAUCGGAAUUACUGGGCGUAAAGCGUGCGCAGGCGGUUGUGCAAGACAGGUGUGAAAUCCCCGGGCUUAACCUGGGAACUGCACUUGUGACUGCACGGCUGGAGUACGGCAGAGGGGGAUGGAAUUCCGCGUGUAGCAGUGAAAUGCGUAGAUAUGCGGAGGAACACCGAUGGCGAAGGCAGUCCCCUGGGCCUGUACUGACGCUCAUGCACGAAAGCGUGGGGAGCAAACAGG